UACAGAGGUGCAAGCGUUAAUCGGAAUUACUGGGCGUAAAGCGUGCGCAGGCGGUUCGUUGUGUCGGUGGUGAAAGCCCCGGGCUUAACCUGGGAAUGGCCAUGGAAACUGGCGAACUGGAGUGUGGCAGAGGGGGUGGAAUUCCGCGUGUAGCAGUGAAAUGCGUAGAGACUGCGGAGGAACACCGAUGGCGAAGGCAGCCUCCUGGGCUAGUACUGACGCUCAUGCACGAAAGCGUGGGGAGCAAACAGG
rnacentral:rRNA from 1 species